AAAGUAAACAAGGCAAUCGCCGGUGGUGUACCGCAAGGUCCCACGGGAGGAAAGUCCGGGCUCCACAGGGCAGGGUGCCGGCUAACGGCCGGUGGGGGCGACCCUAAGGCUAGUGCCACAGAAAUGCAGACCGCCGAUGGGGACGAAUUUCGUCUCACAGGCAAGGGUGCAACGGUGCGGUAAGAGCGCACCAGCAGCAUGGAGACAUGCUGGCUAGGUAAACCCCACCCGGAGCAAGACCUGAUAGGAGAUCAGCAUCUUUGGAUGCAGCUGUGGCCCGCAGUGAUCUCGGGUAGGUCGCUGAAGUUGUGUAGCAAUACACAAUGUAGAUAGAUGAUUGCCACUCCAAUGGGUGGGAGACGUUCAAGCCGUUGCUUGGACCACCCGGAGAACAGAACCCGGCUUAUUGUUUGCUUUCCGA
rnacentral:RNase_P_RNA from 10 species